UACGUAGGUGGCGAGCGUUAUCCGGAAUGAUUGGGCGUAAAGGGUGCGUAGGCGGGCUUUUAAGUGAGAUGUGAAAUACUCGGGCUCAACUUGAGUGCUGCAUUUCAAACUGGAAGUCUAGAGUGCAGGAGAGGAGAAUGGAAUUCCUAGUGUAGCGGUGAAAUGCGUAGAGAUUAGGAAGAACACCAGUGGCGAAGGCGAUUCCCUGGACUGUAACUGACGCUGAGGCUCGAAAGCGUGGGGAGCAAACAGG
rnacentral:rRNA from 1 species